UACGUAGGGACCGAGCGUUGUCCGGAAUCAUUGGGCGUAAAGAGCGUGUAGGCGGCCUGACAGGUCUGCUGUGAAAACUCGAGGCUCAACCUCGAGAUGUCGGCGGAAACCGUCUGGCUAGAGUCCGGAAGAGGAGAGUGGAAUUCCUGGUGUAGCGGUGAAAUGCGCAGAUAUCGGGAGGAACACCAAUGGCGAAGGCAGCUCGCUGGGACGGUACUGACGCUGAGACGCGAAAGCGUGGGGAGCAAACAGG
rnacentral:rRNA from 1 species